rnacentral:rRNA from 1 species
GACGAACGCUGGCGGCGUGCUUAACACAUGCAAGUCGAACGCUGAACCCGCUUCGGUGGGGGAUGAGUGGCGAACGGGUGAGUAACACGUGGGCAACCUGCCCCCGGCUCUGGGAUAACUCCAAGAAAUUGGGGCUAAUACCGGAUGUGACCGCUGGCCGCAUGGUCUGGUGGUGGAAAGGGUUUCCGGCUGGGGAUGGGCCCGCGGCCUAUCAGCUUGUUGGUGGGGUAGUGGCCUACCAAGGCGACGACGGGUAGCCGGCCUGAGAGGGUGACCGGCCACACUGGGACUGAGACACGGCCCAGACUCCUACGGGAGGCAGCAGUGGGGAAUAUUGCGCAAUGGGCGGAAGCCUGACGCAGCGACGCCGCGUGGGGGAUGACGGCCUUCGGGUUGUAAACCUCUUACAGCAGGGACGAAGCGCAAGUGACGGUACCUGCAGAAGAAGCACCGGCCAACUACGUG